CCCUCCCCCCGGGCUCCGGGCCUGAGGCGGUCCCGGUCCCCGCCCGCCGCCCGCUCGCUCGCCCGCCCGCCCGCCCGCUCCUCACCGUGUCAGCGACAACGCGGCCGAGGCCGAGGCCGGGCUCCUCCGCGCCGCAUCCUCCCGGCCGCCCAGCGCGGACGGGGCCAGGGCGGGACCCGGACCGAGCGGCCGCCGCUCCGGCCCUGCUCCGAGCCGAGGCAGCGACACCAAAAUGGCGGCGGCUCCUGCUCCUCCGCGAGAGAGCGCCCGGCCACGCCCCCCCCGCGCGCCAGGCCACGCCCCCGCCCGCGGCCACACCCCGGGGUGGCCCCGCCCCCAGCUCCUCGCCCCGGGGGGGGCGGUGCCGGGAUCCGCGGCCGUGCCCCCCGGGUGGGGCCGGCCCGGGCCGAGCCCGCCCCGCGCCGCCUUUGGGCCUCGCGGGGACCCGUAGCGGGCUCGCGCGGGCCGCGGCCUUGCCUCGCCGUGGAGCCUGGCGCCUGAGGAGCGCCAGACUUCCCAGAGGAGCCCUU
rnacentral:lncRNA from 1 species